AACGUUAUUUAAAUUUUAAAUUAUUUGUCUUUUCAAAAUCAUGGGCUUUGGCACUAAGUAGUUUUGGCCUUGACUGUAAGCGUUGUCAACACUGAACACCUGGAUAAAGUAUUAACCUAGCAGAGACUCAAUUUACUAAAAAUUAAAGAGUAACAGUAAUAUCUACUUUACAUGGUAUCAUGAGAAUUCAGUGAACAUAUAUAAAAUUUUAUUACAAGGUACAGCACAUAAAUAUAAUUUUAUUCCUCUUUUUUCCCUCUUUUUUUCCUCCAACUAGGGGCCAAAUUUAGCUAACAUUUACUGAGUGAUUAUUAUGUGUCAUGUACUAGUUUAAGCAUCUUAUACAUAUUAAUUUAUUUACAUCAGUUCUGUAUACUAUUGUUCUCUCUUUUACAGAUGGAGAAAUCAAGGCGCAAAGAGGUUAAGAAGCUUGCCCAGGGUUUGCCGGGACAUAGAUGGGAGUACUAAUUCACAACUAGAUGGAGAACCUGAUACAAGCAAGCAGAACUCCGGAAGGCAACAUCUUGAGAGCCCUGAAGUGACAAUGGGAUUCUGGGAAAGUCAAUUCCCGGAGCCCAGUCUCUUUAUCUGCAAAAUGGAAAUAAUUAUUACAAUGGAGCCUCUCCUGCCUGCUGGGCGGCAUCACAGGAGACAGUGUUUUGGAAAGUCCUCUGUAUGUUCGAGGUAGCAUUAACACCACCUCCCCCUGCCCCCAGCCAAUAAGGGCCUACAAAAGAAACAGCCAGGGAAACUGAGUCGGUAAGCACUGGAUUUGGGAGUUUGAGUAUUUCCAAGCAGAAGUCAUGAGGUCAAACUUUGUAAUACUAAUAAAUAGGAAGAAGCACAGGAAUCCCAUUUCUUUGAUCAAUUUAUUAACUUUUUAGUAAAUUCUCUCUCAUCAAUUGUGCUAUAAUGAUUUUGCAUCCCAGAUAGUUUUAUACAAUAUCUUGUGUUUCAUGCUCCUUGUUCAUCAAUAUAAUGCAGUUAGUUGGCAAAACAGUUACAGGAACUGAGGUUACCCUUUCUAUUCAGCACAGAGUGGAGAUAUGGAAGGAACGUCCAGGAAUAUAUUUCUGCCUGGGUUUCGAGUAAAGGUGGCCACUGGCACCAGUUAGGGCUGGAACUCUGGGUAAUUAUGGGGCAUGCACACAGCUCCAUCCCUUUACCAUAGCAGACAUCAGUGAUCUACCACAGCACCUUUCCCCUUCUUAGACCUGGAGAUGGCCUCAGAGCCCUUCCCAACACAGUGGUAACUGGAUCAGAUCACAGUGAAAUGCAUUCGUCACGCCAUGUCUAGGCACUGAUCAGAAGCCAUGACUCUCAUUAUCAAACUGUUAAGCAGCUAUUAGGUGAUGCCCUAAUGCCCUACUGAGAAAAUUAAACCAGUAACUUACAGGUUUAUGACUUAUUCUUUCAUUUUUUGAGCUCUUACUGGUUGCACUUAAUUCAGACAAAGAAAACAGGGUAGCAGAGUUAAACCAAAUGCUUGGGUUAUAAUUCCAAAGUUCUUUUCUCUUCUUCCAGCCACACAGGAUAUUUGAUCCUUCUAAUGCCUUUAACUGUUGGCUUCAAACAACUGUGAAGAAGAGAAGGAAAUCUGACACUUUAGCUGGAUGAUGUUUAUACAGAUGCAGCUUCUUCCUUCACAUAUUUGGUUAGGAGGAGCUCAGUGAGCUGGAGGCUGAAUCUCAGGAAUGUUUAAAUAAAGUGACAUUGACACAGACCCUGAGCAACAUUUGCAAACUCCAUUCUAACCUCACUUAGAGUUGAGGUUCUUAAUCUUUGUUGGACAUGUAUUCCUUUGGCAGACUGGUGAGGUUUAUGCAUCUCGCUCAGAAUACUAUCUUUAUAUAAAACAGUAAAAGAAAAUCGGGUUAUAAAAAGAAAAUACACUGGGUAUACUAUAUAAUGCAUUUGGGUAUACUGAAAUACAGUUAUUAAAAUAUUUUUUUUAAAUCUAUGAUAAAGAUUUUUAUAUGUUCUUAUUUAUUAAAUAUUAUACAAAAAGAUCUAAUGGCAAGUUAAGUAACUUCCAUAAUUUUGCAAUAGCUAUCAGGGCAAAUAUUUUGAGAUAUCUGGGGUAACUAUAAUGUUAUAUGAAAUUAUCUUGAUUUCUAUUGGUGACUAAGCCACAGGUACCAAUAAGACUACUGUAGUUUGUUACCAUAUUUAACUGAUAGAAACAGAUACUACGCUUGAUCUUAGCCAAAAGACCGAGAAGCAAUGUUACCUUAUUUAAAAUAGAAAACUUGAUAAAUUUCAGAGAGAGGUUAGUGGAAAUAGUGAUUCCUCCCCCAAUCCAACUAGUCUGUGAACCCUUUAGAUUAUGUCCAGGGAUCCCAGUAAUAAGCCUUGGACAAAUUUGAAUGUGGAGACUUGUGAGUGAUCAGGUGUAACAUUCCUACCACUAAUUCUCCACUUAGAGAAUUCCUGAGGUGGCUGGGCACAGUGUAAUCCCAACACUUUGGGUGGCCGAGGCAGGUGGAUUGCUUGAGCUCAGGAGUUCGAAACUGACCUAGGCAACAUGGCGAAACCCCAUCUCCACUAAAAAAAAAAAAAAAAA
rnacentral:lncRNA from 1 species